rnacentral:rRNA from 1 species
UUUGACCUCGGAUCAGGUAGGAAUACCCGCUGAACUUAAGCAUAUCAAUAAGCGGAGGAAAAGAAACCAACAGGGAUUGCCCUAGUAACGGCGAGUGAAGCGGCAACAGCUCAAAUUUGAAAGCUGGCUUAGGCCCGCAUUGUAAUUUGCAGAGGAUGCUUUUGGUGAGGUUCUUUCCGAGUUCCCUGGAACGGGACGCCAUAGAGGGUGAGAGCCCCGUAUGGAUUGACACCAAACCUGUGUAAAGCUCCUUCAACGAGUCGAGUAGUUUGGGAAUGCUGCUCAAAAUGGGAGGUAAAUCUCUUCUAAAGCUAAAUAUAGGCCAGAGACCGAUAGCGCACAAGUAGAGUGAUCGAAAGAUGAAAAGCACCUUGAAAAGGGGGUUAAACAGUACGUGAAAUUGUUGAAAGGGAAGCGCUUGUGACCAGACUUGCGCCGGGCAGCUCAUCAGGGGUUCUCCCCUGUGCACUCUGCCCGGCUCAGGCCAGCAUCGGUUCUCGUGGGAGGAUAAGAACGGUAGGAAUGUGGCCCCCUCUCGGGGGGGUGUUAUAGCCUGCCGUACGAUACUCUCGUGGGGACCGAGGUUCGCGCUCCGCAAGGAUGCUGGCGUAAUGGUCAUCAGCGACCCGUCUUGAAACACGGACCAAGGAGUCGUCCAUUAGAGCGAGCGUUUGGGUGUAAAACCCGCACGCGUAAUGAAAGUGAACGUAGGUGAGAGCUUCGGCGCAUCAUCGACCGAUCCUGAUGUUUUCGGAAGGAUUUGAGUAAGAGUUUUAACGGACGGACCCGAAAGACAGUGAACUAUGCUUGUAUAGGGUGAAGCCAGAGGAAACUCUGGUGGAGGCUCGCAGCGGUUCUGACGUGCAAAUCGAUCGUCAAAUAUGAGCAUGGGGGCGAAAGACUAAUCGAACU